rnacentral:lncRNA from 1 species
CAAGGCCGACGGGCAAUGGGAUCGGCGCGGGGCCGGGUCGGGCAGCAGAAUCAGAGUAGGUAGAACCCAUUUCGAGCGCGAGAGAUGUACGCGAGCGGGACUCGAUUGAUUGAUGAUGUAUAGGAUCUGGUAGGGAUUUUGCUCGGGACUGCAAGAGCUUAAUUUACGAAUUUUUUUCUCCAGUUUGAGGCGGCGGUUGUGGGGAGGAAGGAGGGAUGUUUUGGGCAGGGAAAUGGAUGUGGCGAUGUAAUGGGGGAUGUAGUUCAUAUGUGUAUUCUUUAUGUGAAUUGCGGAUGGUGGUCAUGGGUGAGGAGUUUUCGGUUGCUGGUCAUGGCGGGCUUUUACCAGGUUUUUAUUUUUUCGAAUGAUUGGUAUACUCGGGAUAUUUUCUGAAGUGAUGAAGUAUAGUUUUGGUGGGUAGAGUUGAGUUCUCUCUUGAUGUUUUUGUCAAUUUCUUGUGUACGCAAUUGUUACGUUUUUUGAGUUUAGGUGAAGGGUGAAUAGGAUGUGUUGUGAAUGUGUUCGUGUUGUGUCCAUUGCAGCGUGCAAUUUGUUGCAACUGUUAUGCCACCUUGUUUUGCAGCAGCUGCUGACCUGGAUGUUUUUGCUGCUGCUUGUGGGGUUCUAUUCGUUUGAUAUUUGACUUGUCAUGUACGUGGGUCUUCGCUGCGAUGGUUGCAUUUGUUCUCAAAUGUUUACUAUUUGUUGUCGCUGGAGUGUGUUCCUGUACCUUUGCUGGCUUUGUCGUCUGUAUUCUUUCGUAAUUGGUGCGUGUCGAUGUGUUGGAUAGUUUUAAAUCUCGCCUUUCUGUCUCUGUAUGUUACAUACUAGAGUGAAUGUGGUUUGUGGUUUCAGAGGUUAUAACAGAUAUUGUUCUUCCUUGAGUAUUAUUACACACAAUAUUUUGUACUAACAUAAUCAUCGAUAUCCAUUAUUUUUGAGGCGACUUUUUAAGAUCUGGUUCUACUUGCCAAGUCGUUUCUUUUAUUGUAAUUCCUCACGGUUUUUGACAUUUUAUUUCUUGCGACCAUAUAUUUGAAGCUUGCAACGCUCUUUCCGGCAAGAAAUUGAGGCUUCUUCUCUGAAGGUAAUUGCCGGCUGUUUUUGAACUACCGACUUCUCGAAAUGGUGGAAAAUGACUGUUUAAAAGUGAAAACAUUGUUAUUCUGGCUCUUGGUUAUUGCCGGUAUAAUAGUGUUACUGACUAGCUUUCGUGAACUUUACCAGCACAUUUCACACUCCACAUUUAACCGUCCAGUCUGGAUUAAGGACAAAAGCAUUAAGUACCAGUUGCUAGUAUCACCGACAAGUUUAUGCCGUGAAGCUGUCAUUGCAGAAAGCUGUGAUUAUCAUGAUCAAUAUAGAGUAGCUAAUUUAUUGUGCGAUCAUGUCAGCAACCAUGAAACAGAUUCAGGAUUCUCAGGUGUGAGUUUAAACCUGGAGGUUUAACUGUGUUAAGGUUGUUACUGAAAAUAUGAAAAAAAUAAAAAUAAAGAAAUGAAUGAAAGGUUUUAAUAUAAUUUUAGUUAAAUAUUUCUAUUUACAUUCAAAACAGAAAAAUGGAUGGAUGGCUGGCUGGCUGGCUGACUGACUGACUGGCUUCAGAUGGGUUGAUCGUCGUCCCAAAUAAAUGAUAUGUAACAGUUUCGUUACUUUGUAUGUAUAAAAUUUUUAAUUUUUUAAUUUUUUAAAAUCUUAUGAAGCAUUUGAUAGUUUACGAUCAUUGAAAUAUUGCAUUGAUCAUACAAUAAAUUAUUUUGAUCUACAAAUACUGAUUUUAGAAAUUAUAUAUAUAUAUAUAUAUAUAUAUAUAUAUAUAUAUGUGUGUGUGUGUGUGUGUGUGUGUGUAUAUAUAUAUAUAUAUAUAUAUAAAUAAAAUUCUGGAUUGUCUUUACAAUGUUUAUCUAAAUAUUUCAUAUUGAAAUUCUUUUCCAACAAGUUUUCUUCCAGUAGAAACUAAAUAGAUUUCUUAGAAGGAAUCAAGGUUGAAAUCAUGGAUAAAUCUGUAAUAUUAUAAAGUUAUCUUAAAACACUAAUAUCGAAUUUCUAUGAUGGAAUACAAAAAAGUACAUAUGCACAUUUUCUAAUAUUUUUUAAAAUUUUUAUCAUUAUUUGUAAUACAUGAUUUUUAUGUUUUAAAUUAAUUGAUAAAAAGUAUAUUCCACAUUAAAUUAUAAUUUUCUUUCAAUUAUUAGUAUGUUGAAUCAAAUGUCAAUUGCAAUGCUUACUCAAAGUUCUGUCUUUAUUAUGUUAUUUUUUACAUUUUCAGGCCUAAGUUAUUUAAUCUUUGUUUUUAUCUUCAUCUUUAUAUUUAUCUUUUUACCAUCUAAACAAAUAAAAAUAGUUUUUUUGGUUCUGAUUAUUAGGUUUCACACAAAAUCUGUAAUUUCACGUCAAAGUUUAUUUACUUAUUUAUUCUUCUUAUGUUUUUUGAAAAAUUGGAAAAAUAUAUAUUUUAAAUUUUAAAAGCAUUAAUUUUGGGUUUUUUGGAUUUUUUAAGUUUACUUCUGAUAUCAAAAUUUUCACCAUGUCUAUGUAAUAUUUUAAUCAUAGAUUUUAAAAAUUAAUGUUAUAAUUAUAUUUUUUUUAACAUCAGUACUCCUUUAAUAAAAUAAUGUGUAAAAAGAAUACUUACAAUUGGUGAUUUAAUUUUCUUUUAAGAUUUAUUUUAAAGUCUUAACCUUUGUUAGCAACAAAUGAGAAUAUGGCCUUGCAAUUGGUCAUGUUUGAUCCACCAAAGAUUUGGCAUGCUCUAUCAAAGUAGAAGGCAAGUUGGUGAACAAGAUUCAAUACAACACAUAAGGCGCAUGAGGCCAAAAAGACUAAAGUUAGCUUAAUCAAAAAACUAAACAAAAUAAGCAAUGUGGGCAAUGUUGUCUCUUCAUUGGAUUGAUAAAAUUUAUUUUUUAAGAGUUUUAUAUAAGUCCUAAUUUUUUUAAUGUCUUAAUUGUUUUAAUUUAAUUUAAUGACUAAUCAAAAAUUUUCUUUUAAUGUCUUAAGUUGAUCGUGGAUCAAGAGAGAACAUUUAAAUCUACAUAUCAAUUAUCUGACCUAAUUAAAAAAUUAAUAAUGUAAUUGAUUGGCAUUCUAUGAACAAGUACUUAUAGCUAUAAUAAUUAAACAAUAAAAAAAAUAGGUAUUUUUUUGAGCUAAGUCAUAAGUGUGCUUUAUGUAUUAAAAGUUCUUAUACAAAAAAAAAUCCAAGUUUAUCAUAGAAUAUGUUUAUGAAAAUUUCAAAUCAAGGUUAAAAGAAGAUUUGUAAAUACUUAUUUGGAAAUAAGAAGAUAAAAAGACCUUGCCAAAAGAAGAAAUCAUGAAUAAAUGAUUAACAAUCAUUAAAUAAAGAAAGAAUUUGGAUUAGAAGAAGGUUCAAUGGUUUAAGAGAGAAUUAAGAGUAAUUAGGACAAAGCAUAUUUGAAUGCUACCAUAAGUUAGUUGUAUCAUGGUGGACGAAGUCCAAUGAAGGAGCUUAUUAUUGGAUAAGAAGGACAAUUAUGGUUGCUAAGAAUUAGUGCAAAGUAACUAAAGGAGUGAAGACUUACUGUCACGGACAUAUAUAUUUAUUCCAAUAGUUACUUGUAUGAUUAGGUAGAAGUAUAUAAAUAUAGAUUAAUUUCAUAAAGUUUUUUAGAGAAGCUUCUCAAAAGCUUUUUAGAUGCAAUUUCGACUUUAGAUGUGUUUGUAGGUUAGAAACUUGGCCAACAAAUUAACCACGUGUUGAUAGCUUGUGAAAUAAGUUAACUCAGUGUAAAAGUUUGUAGAACAAGCUUACUAUGUGGCACAUAUAUAGAGAACUUGCCUUGCAAGUUAAGACAUGUGGCUAGCAAAGUCAACACAUGUUAGAGGUCUUAUAGAAUAUUGUCAUAUAGCUCCUAGUUAGAGAGUAUAUAUGGAAGCAAGCGUGAAGCUUUCUUCAUUCUUGUCAAUGCCUUUCUAGUCAUUAGUCUUGUUCUAAGACUUUCUAGUCUUUUUGUUUUUGGCAAUAGCCAUUAUAGUUCAAUAUUAUAUCAUCUUUGAAUGACUUUCUAGUUUCUUUCAAUGAUACAAGAGUGUAUUAAGGAUUUUCUUUCCUCUAGAUUCAUAUCCUUGAUACUUACUAUUAGGCUAGAAAUUUGGUAGUUCUAAGCAAUAGAAGUUAUGUGAAAGAAUGCCUUAGAGUACAAAAUUUAAAGAAGAGACAAUGAAUGUUGAACAACAAUUGUAGAGAUUCAAAGCCAACUAUAUUCAAAUGAAUAAAUGCACUAUGAUGGAUGACAUGAAUUUUGAUGAAUUACUAAUGUAUUAGAAGUAUUAUGCAUAUUAAUAUAGUUAGAAAAUAGAUUGUAGAAAGAUAGUCAAGUCUAUUACUGAUUGCCAUAUAUUGAAUCUUAGAAGUUGAUAGCAUAAAUAGUGACAAACUAUGUAAGAUUUUAAGUUGGAUUAGAAGUCAAUGGAUAUGGCAACUCAUGCUUAUUUGAAAAGGAAGGAACUUCAUAGCUACAUGUAUUUAGUUCUUCAAGUUUUCUAAUUUAGAUGGCAUAUUUUUUUGUGGAGAAGUAAAAACUCUAGUUAAUUGAUCUAAACUUUUCAAUGGUUUGUAUUUUUUUAAUAUUAAGCAAUAAGAUUUAAACAAGAAGCACUAGUAAAAAAAGACUUUUAUAUGAUAAAACUUAAAUUUUAAGUUAUAUAAAGAAGGCUUUCAAAUUCACUUACACUCUAUUGCACCAAUUCUAAGUGGUGUUGUGAAUGUUGUGUAUGCAAACAAGAAAAUGUCAUUUUUGAUAAUUUCUUCAACAUUCAAUUUUUUUAAUUUAAAAAAAGUAUAUAAAAAGGUAUUGUGUUAUCUCAACUAUUCUUUUGUAAGCUAUUUGGACUACAAAAUCCUUCUUGAAGUGACAAUUAGAUUGACUAGAAUAAAGAAGAAGAAAUAGAAUCUAAUCUAAUCAAAUAUGUUUUAGGGGAGUAUUAAUGCAAGAUAUUAUUCUUACUAUUUAAUCUAAUAUAAAAAUAUUUAAAUUUCUUUGAAAGAUGUAAUUUUUAAAAAUAUUAUUAAGAAGUUAAAAAAUUUAAAAUAAGAAGAAAAGAAUUAAAAAAAAAAAUAGUGGUAUGAAAAGGACUCAAAACAAGAAAAAAAAAAUAAGAAGAAGAAAAAAAAAAUAGUAUCAAAAGAAAUCAAAACAAGAAGAGUAGACUAAGUAAGAAAGAAGUUAAUAGAAGAAGUAGAAGAACUAAUGUAAAAAAAUUAGAAGAAAAAAGUUAAAUAGCUAGUUUGAAUAGAUAAAGUGGUUAACUACCUAUGUGUUAUAAAAGACAAGGUCUUUGAGCUGCCUUAGAUAGUUAAGGUAGUUAGAAACAAAGUAGUUUUAAUAAGACCAAAUAGUACUAAAAAUCUUAUUAUAGGUCAGAUAUAAAUAGCUAAAAAUUAUGUUGUAAACAUUAUAAGAGAAAUCAUAAUAAAAAAAUAACAAUUGACAUUCUACUUGUCAUUAUAUUAUACAUUUUUAAUACAUUAACAAGUCUUAAAGUUUAAGUCAUAAAAUAUUUCAAAAAAAGAUUCAUGAAGACCUUUAGGAUUUUCAACUUCAAAUGAAAAGAACUUUGAAGCUAAGAUCAUCAAGUUACAAUUCUAGCGACAAUGAAAAAAUGUUCAUCAUAUGUAAGUGUCAAGGACAAGAACUCGAUGAAAGCUAAAGAGUAAGUGAGACUUUUCUCAAAGAAAUAGGACAAAAUAGAAAUAUGUAUAUUAAGAAAGAAAUUGGAAUGGCUAUUGCCGAAAUACAAGAAAACUAGAGACCCUUGAAACUAGACUAGAAGCAAGAAAGGAGUUGACAAGAGUGAAGAGGGCUUCACUCUUGCCUCUAUAUAUACUAUCUAACUAGAAGCCACAUGGCGAUGUUCUAUAAGACCUCCAAUAUAUGUUGACUUUCUAGGCCACAUGCCUUUGCUUGCAAGGCAAGUUUUCUAUGGAUGGACCACGUAGUUAGCUUGUUCUUUAAGCUUCCAACAUGUGUGGCACAUGGCUAACUUGUUGACCAAGUUUCUAGCCUAAAAGUCAACUAUAGACUCCUAUAAAGUCAAAGCAGCGUCUAUGAAGCUUCUAAGAAGCUUUUCUAGAAGAUAUUAUACAAUUAACCUACUUUUAUCUACUUUUACAUACUUUUAUCUAUUCAUAUAGGUAAUUAUAUGUAUGUCCGUGACAUUACCCCCCCUUCUAGGGACGAGUUCCACGAGGAGCGGUGAUUAUAUAUUGAGAAAAUCUAAUAUGCGGCGAAUUGUAUUUGCUACAUACUCUGAUUUUUGUUCUCUUCGAAGAUAGUUGAUGGGUCCUCUUAGCCAUCGAUAGUGUCCCAUUCCAGGGCGAGAAGACCACCCUGUUAUUUGAUCACUGUUGAGGCCUUCAUAACUUCCUUCAAAUAAUACAUUUGAAACACCAUCAGGAGUCGUUCCUAUCUCCAAUAAUAUCACCAAACAUCGAGAAUCUCUUCCAAGGUCGUGAUACCAAACGCGUUGUAUCUCACCAUCUAUUCGAGGAAGAACAUGUCGUUCUUGAGGGUCUUCAUCUCGGUUGCGUCGUCUUGAAGGUGACAAUCGCAAUGUCUCAUCCGGUAAGUCAGCAAACGAAGGUUCUUGAGUUGAAUCCACUGGUUGUUGGCUCUCCAUCUAAUUAGCGUCACAAAAUGCAAAGAAGUUACAAACAAGGAUAGGAAAUUGAAUGUUAUCUUGCCUCAAUCUUGUCUCUUUUAUAAGAGAGGUUUUCAUCUUGGUUUUGAUGGAUGUCAUUGAUGAAAAACUUUGACUUUAGCUGAUGCAUUUGCUAGAUUCCUGGAUGGCUCCCAUGUGCGCUCACUAAUAUCAUAUCCGCACCAAUGAACAAGAUAUUCCAGCUUAUUUCGGCGCCGCCUUGAGUCUAAUAUCUCUUCCACCUCAAAUUCUUCAUUAUUAUCUACUUCUAUAGGAGGCGGUGGCAUUUGUCUUCUUCCUUGUAUAUCCACUGUCUUAUAUGGUUCAAGAAGAGACACGUGGAAUACAGGAUGGAUCUUCAUUGACUCCGGUAGAUGUAACCGAUAUGCAACUGGGUUGAUCUGUUCAGAAACAGAAAAGGGGCCAAGCCUACGAUAGUCCAAUUUGUCACAAGGUCGAGUGGUCUUGAUAUUGCGACGAAGUAGCCAUACCUUAUCACCCACGUUGAGUUGUGGUUGCUCUUUACGAUAUACAUCUGCAUUUAUCUUUUGUCGUUCUUGAGCUUUCUUCAACUGCGCCUUCAUUAUUGCAUGUAACUCUGACAACCGAUUUGCCAUAUCUUCUGCUGCAGGAUUAUCAACUUUUGAAAAAUCAAAAGUAUCAAGUCGUGGAUGAUAGCCAUAAUUGGCAAAGAAAGGUGUUUGUUGCAUGGAGGAAUGUACCGUAUUAUUAUAAGCAAACUCUGCCAAUGGCAGAAGGUUUGUCCAAUCAUCUUGUUGGUAGUUGAUGGUACACCUUAAAUACUGUUCCAAGACUUGGUUUACGCGCUCUGUUUGUCCAUCAGUUUGAGGAUGGAAAGCUGAAGAUAGCUUUAUGUCCACUUUUAAAAUCUUGAAAAGAGUCCUCCAGAAUCUCGACACAAAUUGAGUUCCCCUAUCCGAUAUGAUAUCUUUAGGUAAUCCAUGAUAGCGAUAGAUAUUAUCAAUGAAAAGCUUAGCUGUUUCUUCACCUGUGAUAGAUUUUGUACAUGGCAUAAAAUGUGCCAUCUUGGUGAAACGAUCUACUAUCACAAAUAUAGAAUCAUAAGAUCUUGAGUUUGGAAGAUCUGUGAUGAAAUCCAUAGAAACAGAAGACCAUGGUUGUUCUGAUAUAGGUAAUGGCUGAAGAAGUCCGUAAGGUCGAUGUCGAGGAAUUUUUGAUCUUGAACAAAUAUCACAUGAUUGUACAAAGUCUUUGACUGACUUCCACAUUUGUGGCCACCAAAAAUCUCUUGAUAUGAGUUCCAGAGUCUUAUUAUAUCCAAAGUGACCUGCUGCUGGAAAGUCAUGACGUGCUUGAAGAACACGCAAACGUGCUUUUCCUUCUGGAACAUAUAGGCGUCCUUCAAAAUAUAAUAGAUUAUUCUUGAACUCGAACUUAGAAGAAUCAUGAGACUUGGAAGAAUUAUUCUCGAUAUCAUAAACAAGAGGGUCUGAGGACAUACUGGACUGGAUUUGCUUGAGAAAAGUUGAAUCAACAGUCAGUGUUGAUUUCACUGCUCGGAGAUGAAAUUGCUCCGGUUUCAAGAGGACCGUUCUUUGUUGCUCAAAAGCUGUAUCUCCUUCUUUUGGUGCAAAAUAAGAACGUCUAGAUAGGGCAUCGGACAAACCUUGUUGUUUUCCUGGCCGAUAAGUGAUAAUGAAGUCGAAUCUUGAUAAAGACAUACUCCAACGAGCUUGACGACGAUUCAACACGCGUGCUGACAUGAAAUACUCGAGGUUCUUGUGAUCUGUAUACACAGUGACUGGACUAGAAGCACCUUCUAGAUAAUGACGCCAUUCUUGAAAAGAAUCCACGAUUGCAAGAAGUUCUUUAUCGUGGAUCUCAUAAUUGAUCUCGGCUGCUGAGAAUUUUCUUGAAUGAAAAGCUAUAGGAUGAAGUUUGUCAUCUGUUCCCAUUUGUGAUAAAACUGCACCCAAGGCAAAAUCCGAUGCGUCUGUUUCCAUAAAAAAUACCUUGGAAAAGUCAACACGAUAUAAGACUGGUGCAGAGACAAACGAUGUCUUCAAGGCUUCAAAUGCUGCUUCCGCUUCUUGAUUCCAUUGGAAUUUAUCUUUACUAGUCAAGCGUGUAAGUGGAGCUGCAACUCGUGAGAAGUCUUUGAUGAAGAUCCGAUAGUAAUUGGCAAAUCCCAAGAAACAUUGGACAUCUCUUACAGUCUUUGGAAUCUUCCAAUCCAUGAUUGUUUGGACUUUCUUAGAAUCCAUCAUAAGACCAUCAUUUGAAAUGAUGUAUCUUAAAAAGUCAACUUGAGUAGUGUGAAAUACACACUUUUCUAUCUUGGCGUACAAUCCUGCAUCUCUAAGUUUUUGUAAUACUUGACGAACAUGUAUUUCAUGUUCUUCAACAUUCUUAGAAUAAAUCAGGAUAUCGUCUAGGUAGCAGACGACAAAAUUGUCUAAGAAUUCACGAAAUACAUCAUUCAUGAGAUGUUGAAAAGCAGCUGGUGCAUUCGUGAGUCCAAAAGGCAUGACAUUGUAUUCAAAGUGUCCGUACCUGGUUCGAAACGCAGUCUUCCAUUCAUCUCCUUCUUUGAUCCGUACUAGAUUAUAUGCUCCUCUUAGAUCUAUUUUUGUAUAGAUCUUAGCUUGAUUUAACUGGUCAAGGAGUCCUAAUAUCAAAGGUAAUGGAUACUUGUUCUUGAUUGUGAUCGUGUUGAGUCCUCAAUAGUCAACACACAUUCGUAAAGAUCCAUCUUUUUUCUUUACGAAUAAAAUUGGAGCUCCUGCUGGAGAUUUUGAAUGGCGUAUGAAAUUCUUCGCUAAAUUCUCGUCAAUAUAUGUCUUGAGUUCAGCCAACUCAUCUUGCGAUAAACUGUAAAUUGGUCCAAAUGGUGGCUGAGUUCCUUCCUUGAGAUCGAUUGAACAAUCGUAUGGGCGAUGCUCAGGAAGAAUAUCUGCAUUCUUUUUCUCAAAAACAUCUUGAUAAUCUUGAUAUUGACUUGGAAUGCCACUUGAAGUCUUUACGCUUUCAGAAAUAGGUGCAGUAUAAAUAGCAAAAGUUGAUCCUUCUUUUGCUGCAUGUAUAAAUGCUUUUGCACCUAUAAGUGCGGGUUUUACUAUACUAGACUCAUGGUUUUUUACUUGAUUAAUAGAACUGUUACUAAUGCUCUGAGGAAAAUCAAGUUUACGAGAAAUCCAAUCUAUUCGAGGAUUAUACUUUUCUAACCAUGAUAAGCCUAAAAUUACUGGAUUAGAGGGAGAUCUAAUUAUAUUAAAAAUUACGCAACUACUAUGACCAUUUAUUACUACAUCUACAGGAAGUGUUUCGUGAGUUACAUCUCCAGAAGACAACGGACGACCAUCUAUGACUUCUACGUGUACAGGUUUAGUUUUUUGUAUUAAUGAUAUUCUAUGACAUCUAGCAAAUUCUUCAUCUAAAAAACAAGCUGAGGCUCCUGAAUCUAUCAAGGCAGAGGCUUUGUAAUUAUUAGGUCCUAAACGCACAUCUAUUAUAAAACAAAGAGAUGGUUCUGAGGAGAGGAUAGGACCUUCAUUAGAAGUUGUACAAGAUUCCAGCCGCAUAGUCCCUAUUGUAGCUGGACGUACUCGUUUUCCGACAUACUGUCUUCUUUGACAGCCGUACUCCUCAUUUUGUAGUUACGUCGCUUCUUUGGACAAUGUUGAGCAGUGUGCUUAGGUUCUCCACAAUAUAAGCACAAUCCUUCUUGUCGACGACGAGACUUUUCUUGCUCAGUAAGAGGUUUGAAACGUACCGCAUCAAUUUGCAUAUCCUCUACUUCUGAAGGUAUGUGUUGAGGAGACGUCGGUGUUGCCAUUGAAUUGUAGUAACGUUGAGGCCUUGUCGCAAAAUAUGGAUCUUGUUGGUUGCAACAUGAAUUGCAUCAUGUUCUCCAAACAUGGAUCGAAACUCCGCCAAAAAAGCCUCCAGAUUAUCCAAUAUUGGAUCUCGUCAUUCAAGAAAAGAUGAAAACCAUGACAAUGCUGAACCUGAAAGAAGUGUACCAAUGAAUCUAACUUGUGACCCUGGAGUUGGAUAGCUCUGGGGUUGAAGUUCAAUCACUAAUUGGACCUGAUUGAUGAAUCCUCGAAACUUGGAUCUGGUACCAUCAAACUUCUCGGGCAAGGCCACUCUCGGUUCUCUAACACUCGAAGGGUGUUCCAUUCUGGGAGAAGGGACAUGGUUUGGUGCAGAUGUUGAAGCAGCCCCAAUCAUCUCUAUAUCUUCACUUCCUACCAUUCUUGUUGCUCCUUGUGGUGGUAAAUUGAGUUGAUGCAUCGCAAGCAUUAACUCCCUCAAUUGUUCUUGCAUCUGUGCCAUUGCACUCUUCAUUUCAACAAGCUCUGCCAUAGUAGCACUUAGAAAAGAGAAGAUGUCUAAUAACGCUCAAAACAAAUAGAAGAGAGGAAUUGAUAACAAAGAAAAUACUAAGAACAAUAUCAGUUUAAAAGAGGGUAAUCCGCAACUUCUAAUGCGCUUAUGUCUUAUCAAGAAAAAGGGGUAAUCCACUCUUAAUCAAGAAAAGACAAAGCUCUCAUAUUGUAAGUGUACUCUUGUCAAUCUGUCAAGGACAAGAACUCGAUGAAAGCUAAAGAGUAAGUGAGACUUUUCUCAAAGAAAUAGGACAAAAUAGAAAUAUGUAUAUUAAGAAAGAAAUUGGAAUGGCUAUUGCCGAAAUACAAGAAAACUAGAGACCCUUGAAACUAGACUAGAAGCAAGAAAGGAGUUGACAAGAGUGAAGAGGGCUUCACUCUUGCCUCUAUAUAUACUAUCUAACUAGAAGCCACAUGGCGAUGUUCUAUAAGACCUCCAAUAUAUGUUGACUUUCUAGGCCACAUGCCUUUGCUUGCAAGGCAAGUUUUCUAUGGAUGGACCACGUAGUUAGCUUGUUCUUUAAGCUUCCAACAUGUGUGGCACAUGGCUAACUUGUUGACCAAGUUUCUAGCCUAAAAGUCAACUAUAGACUCCUAUAAAGUCAAAUAAGAAGAAGAAAAAAAAAAUAAGAAGAAGAAAAAAAAAAUAAGAAGAAGAAAAAAAAAAUAGUAUCAAAAGAAAUCAAAACAAGAAGAGUAGACUAAGUAAGAAAGAAGUUAAUAGAAGAAGUAGAAGAACUAAUGUAAAAAAAUUAGAAGAAAAAAGUUAAAUAGCUAGUUUGAAUAGAUAAAGUGGUUAACUACCUAUGUGUUAUAAAAGACAAGGUCUUUGAGCUGCCUUAGAUAGUUAAGGUAGUUAGAAACAAAGUAGUUUUAAUAAGACCAAAUAGUACUAAAAAUCUUAUUAUAGGUCAGAUAUAAAUAGCUAAAAAUUAUGUUGUAAACAUUAUAAGAGAAAUCAUAAUAAAAAAAUAACAAUUGACAUUCUACUUGUCAUUAUAUUAUACAUUUUUAAUACAUUAACAAGUCUUAAAGUUUAAGUCAUAAAAUAUUUCAAAAAAAGAUUCAUGAAGACCUUUAGGAUUUUCAACUUCAAAUGAAAAGAACUUUGAAGCUAAGAUCAUCAAGUUACAAUUCUAGCGACAAUGAAAAAAUGUUCAUCAUAUGUAAGCUAAGUUCUACUUUGAUGCAAAUGAUAUCAAUGGAAUACUUCAACUUUCACAAAGCCUUAUGAGACAAAAAUAAGACAUAAAGAAGAGAUUAAAGAACAAAAAAGAUAUAUUUUAAGAUAAACAUUAUUUUUUACAUGUAUAAAUCUUAAUAAAAAUAAAAAAUAAAAAAUAAAACUCAUUAAAAAUAUCAUUUUAACUUGAAAUACAAACUUACUUCAUCACAAUCCAAAUUAAUAAGAAAAAAUGAUAUAAGCUUUUAUAUGGCUAGAAACAACAAAAUAAACCAAUAAAUUUUAAAACAUAAAAUAUUUUCAAAGUCAACUUUAAUCUAUUCAAAUAUGAAUACAUCUGCAAAUAUUAAAUUCCAACAUAUUAUUGUAUUUAUAUUCUAAAACUAUGACAAAUAAAUUGAAUUAAAUUCUAAAAAAAAAAAAAAAAAAACUCAAUAAAAAAUAAUUGCAUUAAAUUAAAGAUCUUGAUUGUUUCCUACCACAUUGAAAUUAUGUGACUAGUCUUUUGUCUUAUAAAUCAUCUACAAUAUCAUGGACUUUUACAUCAUAAGAUACAUGAAUCAACUUCAUCCAUUGUUAUGAACAUAAGAAUGUUAGGUGAGUUACAAGUCUUAGAUAGUUCCUAUAUCAGUCGAUUAGCAAACCUAAUCUAUAACAAUGAUAAUACAUUUGUGAUAAUGUUGCUUAUUUCAAUUUGGCUAAAAUUGUUAGAAACAAUUCAACCUCAUUACAUAAAAAUCCAAUAUUUAUUUUUUUACAAUUAAGCUGAUUAAUUCAUUGACAUAUAAGUAAGGCUUGCAAACCACUAUCACACCAUUGAUCUCUUAGAACAAUACCUUUUAAGACUAAAUUCAUUGGUGUAGAGGUGUAUCAAAAAGGGACAAAGAACUAAGUUUGGAGGCUCUAUAUCUUGAUAUGGUUCACUUGAUGAUUUUUGAAUGUCUCUUCAAUUAUGGUCCAUCCAUCUACUAAUCAAUUUAAUUCAUAAACAUGAAAGUCCAAUAAUAAUUGAUGAUUCAUCACUUUGUCAAAUGUGUGGGUUGUACAAUACAUGUGGAUCAGCUUGAGCUGUAUGCUAAAUAUGAUGACAAAUUGAGAAAUCCAAAGUUGUUGCUACUUACAAGACAUUGCAACCUCUAGAAGCUCAAGUGUACAUGCAAAUGACACACAUUGUGCAUCACAUGGCUUGUAAAAGUCUGCGUACAUGAUCCACAACUCUGUAGCUUGCUAAUAUGUCAUAAACAUGAUUGAGCAAUGCUUCAUUGUGGAAUGUAAAAUACACCCACAUCCAAGAUUAGAAGAUUGAAAUAGUUGUAUAUCAAAUUCUUGGCAGUUUAGCAAUUUCAUGGUACCAUAUAAAAAUUAGUAAUUUCAUUAGUUAUAUAAGUAUAAAUGAAAAUAUACAUGAAUAAUUUUGUAUGUUAAAAAGAGCACAUGUUAUUCCAUGUAAUUAAUAAUUUUUAUUAUAUUAUAUGUUUACAAGAUUAUUAGACACAUAAAAAUGUUAAUACACAUCUAUAUAACACUAUUUAUGUGGUCAUUUCCAACUAUAUUCUAUAAUGUCGUAUCUUGAUAAAAUACCUUUAAUAAUAUUAUUUUUAAAUAAAGCCUUCCAUUAUUAUAUUUAUAUAUAUAUAUAUAUAUAUAUAUAUAUAUACAGACAUACAUACAUACAUAUACACUAACUAGUGGAAAUCCAUGCAGCUAGCCACAAAAAUUAUUUACUAUAAAUUAUUAACAAAAAAUUACAAUUGAGAGCUUCCAAGCUCCAUGCGCAAUGAUCUUGCAAUGCUACUCUCAUCAAUUUUUAGCAAUUGCAUACAAAUUUUGAUUUUUGAUUGAUCAAAAGUUGAGUUAUUGUUUCACUUUUGUAAAAACAAUUAGAGAUGGUUUUUGUCACCAUUGGUUUAUCCCAUUGGUUUAUUCUCGUUGAACUGAUUUAUGUAAGAGAUACAUGUAUAUACAAAACAACAUAUACAUACAUACAUACAUAUAUGCAAAGAAGGUCAACUGCCAUACAAUUUGAGUGAACACAAUUUUGAAAAUACCACACAAUUGCAUUGUUCUAUCCAACACCUAACAAAUCUUACAUGCCCAUGCUCCACUAUGUUGAUUUCCUACAUUACAUUCAAUCUUUCAUAGCUUUACAAGCCUUUACAUUCCAAUAACUCAAGCAGAAAGAUUGCAACAAGAGUUGAUGAAAUACAAAAUCAACAUUGUUGUCUUGUUGUGCUGAUGUAGUUGAUGUCAAUCCUGACACUUGUAACUAUUACAAGGAUAGUUCUGACUCUAAUUUCUACUGACUUAAAUAAAAGAAGGUCCAACAGUAAAUGCUAAUCACUCAUACUAAAUGUGUGUGUUGGGCCUCACACAUUGAUGAUAAUGUGCUGUUUCCAUCACAUGAUGCAAAAAUGGACAUUCUAAUGAGAUAAAUCCUACCAAGUCUAGUGCUGUUUAAAGACUUGGGUAGAUACAAUUGAUGUAAACUAUAUACAGAUGUUGUAGAUAAUAAAAAUCCAGCUACUUGGUCCCCCACUGGGUUUUUUUUUGUUUCCAUGGCAUUAAAUUUGCAAGAUCAAUAUUCUUAUUGUGUGGCCUUUGAUGAUACAACACAUACCAAGACCAUAAUAUUCACCUGCUUGUAUCUCAUAUUGUUUUUUUCACUCUCCUUCUACAUACAUAUAUGCUGAAAUAUUUGCAAAUGUAAGAGUCCUUAUUAUUUAUUUUAUUGAUAGGUUUUCACUUGGAACUCCUUUGUCAUCCAGGUUUCCUUCUGUUUUAUCUUUCAUUAGUCUUUAUUUUUUGUAAAUCUUAUUUUCAAUCAAACCAAUUUCAUUUGAUUUGUGAGAAACACUAACAAAAAAUGAUUGCAAAACUCUUGAUUACAUGUGUAAGCAUUGUGAUUUGUUCUUGUGGUGCAUGUAUUUUUGCAUAACAAAAUUAUUAGAAUGAUCCGAUUGGACAUAUUACUCUGAAAUGAAGGAAUCCUAUUGCUAGUAAAUGCAAAUGAACGUAUACAUACAAACAAAGGCAAACAAAUAAGGUGAAGGAAAAAUGAGUCUGAGUGGUGAUACGAUUAUAGAAACAUCAUGAAAAAAUAAAAUAACAUGAGGCGACGUAUUUAAUUGAAUAGAAUAGUCCCCUGGCCAUGGAAUCCCAUGGAAUUGUUUUGCGGAAACAUCGAGCAAAUCCACAGUGCUCAAGUCUGGAACCUGCGUUCACACCUGCGAAGGAGAAAAUUGUGGAUAGCAUUAUCCAAACACGGACCUGGGCAGCAUUCGACGUUGCCCGGAAAAAAAAAAAAAAAAAAAAAAAAAACACACACACACGCACACACAACAACAACAAAAGUCAUCGGGGCGUUGGGGGGGGGGGCGAGGGAACAGGUUGUGAAACUGGGGAACAAGUGCAAUGAAGCUUGGGAGCGAAGGCCCCUCCCCCCACCCGGUGGCAUAUCCCGGCGUUCCCAUCGUGUGGUGCACAUCCACCCGCGCAUGCAAGCGAGCGAGAGAGAGGGUGGAUAGAUAAAGAAGCCCUCGAAAGGUCGGGUCCCUUCGGAAAAACAACCCCCUUCACACGGACGGACGGACGCGAGGUCGCGGUUCACGUUUCUCGGGGCCAAGCUUCUCGGAGUUGUCAAGACGGCUUCUGGAAGGAUAGGGUUCUGGGUUUACACAUCUUGAGCGCACUCCCCCACAGCCACAGCGCUAGGGCUUGCAUCGCAGCGUCACCACCCCAAGCUUCUGCGUUUGCAAUCGCUCCGACUCGCUGUGCGCUUCCUACGUGCAGUUUCUCGGUUUCAGAAAUUUUCGAGAAAGCUCUCAGUGGUUGAGCGAACGGAGCAAGGACAAGUCCGGGUGUGAGCGAGGCAGCGAUGGCGUCCGUGAUGAACGCGCAGGCGAUGGCCGCUGCCGUGGGGUCGGUGGGAGCCGUGGCGGGCGCGGACGCGAGGAGGGGAGCUCGGAGGAACGACGGGGCGUUCAGCACGCGCAGGAAUGCGUUCUUCGGGGGCGACGUGAAGAGUCGCGCGGGGUUCGGCGUGGAGAAGCUGAGGGCCAAGUCCGGUGGGCAGGCGAGGCGUGCCGCCGGUCCGAUGCGGGUUGUGGCGGAGAAGGUGGUGGGGAUUGAUUUGGGCACCACCAAUUCGGCCGUUGCUGCCAUGGAGGGCGGCAAGCCCACCAUCGUGACGAACGCCGAGGGGCAGCGCACCACGCCUUCGGUGGUCGCGUACACCAAGAACGGCGACCGGCUGGUGGGUCAGAUUGCGAAGCGGCAGGCCGUGGUGAACCCCACGAACACGUUCUUCUCGGUGAAGAGGUUCAUCGGGCGGAAGAUGGCGGAAGUGGGCGACGAGGCGAAGCAGGUGUCGUACCAGGUGAUCAGGGACUCGAACGGGAAUGUGAAGCUGGACUGCCCGGCCAUCGGCAAGACGUUUGCGGCGGAGGAGAUUUCUGCUCAGGUAGGGCGUGUGUGGUGGAGAUUGCGGAGGGGCGGGUGGGCGUGAAUUGGUAUUGGGAUUGGCGAGGGGGGCGUGGAGGUGGCGGGAGGAAUGGGUGUUUCCGGGUGAGGAGGAGGAAGAGGAGGGUCUGAUUGUGGGGUUUUGGGAAUGUUGUGAGUGCAGGUGUUGAGGAAAUUGGUGGAUGACGCUUCGAAGUUUUUGAACGACAAGGUCGCGAAGGCCGUGGUGACGGUCCCGGCGUACUUCAACGACGCCCAGAGGACUGCGACGAAGGAUGCUGGGCGAAUUGCGGGAGUGGACGUGCUGCGAAUCAUCAACGAGCCGACCGCGGCGUCGCUGGCGUACGGUUUCGACAGGAAGGCCAACGAGACCAUCUUGGUGUUCGAUUUGGGGGGUGGAACGUUCGACGUGUCCGUGUUGGAGGUGGGCGAUGGAGUGUUCGAGGUGCUGUCAACUUCUGGUGACACGCACCUUGGAGGCGACGACUUCGACAAGGUGAGCUGGAGUGGGGACGGAAGUGUGUGCAAAUGCAUGUUGGUUGCGGCGCAUUGGUGGGGGGCGCAGUUUGAUGUGGAGGCGUGGGGGAGAAGAAUUGGUGCGAUUUGAUGUUUGGGUGGGUGUGGUGCUGAUGGGUGGAGGUGUUUUGGGGGUGGUGCAGAGAAUCGUGGACUGGCUGGCCGACGAUUUCAAGAAGACGGAGGGAGUGGACCUGCUGAAGGACAAGCAAGCCCUGCAGAGGUUGACUGAGACCGCGGAGAAGGCGAAGAUGGAGUUGUCUUCUCUGUCUCAGGCGAGCAUCAGGUGAGGGUGGUGACGGGGGCUGAACGGCGUGUGGGCGGGUGCGAAUGGCACGGUGGAUUGGGGAGUGCAAUGGGUGGUGGAGCGCGGUAGGGUUGUUCGUGGGGUGGAUUUGUUGGGGGUGACGGAUGAGUCUGGGAGGGAAGGAUUUGUGGGUAUUGCGUUUGGACGGUUGCUGACCGCGCGGUGGCAUGGGUUUGGUGCAGCUUGCCGUUCAUCACCGCAACAGCCGACGGGCCGAAGCACAUCGACACGACGCUGACUCGGGCGAAGUUCGAGGAGCUGUGCUCGGACUUGCUGGACAGGUGCAAGACCCCUGUGGAGAAUGCGCUGAGGGACGCGAAGUUGUCGUACAAGGAUCUGAACGAGGUGAUUCUGGUGGGCGGUUCGACGAGAAUACCAGCCGUGCAGGAGUUGGUGAAGAGGAUCACAGGAAGAGACCCGAACGUGACGGUGAACCCCGACGAAGUGGUUGCUCUGGGAGCCGCCGUGCAGGUACGUGACGUGGGUGCGGAGUUGAGUUGAGUGGAGUGGAGUGGAGUGGAGUGGCGUGGGUGAGGGGCGUGUGGAAUGCGGAUGUGGAGGCAGGGAGAGUGGGGAUGCGAGCGGAGCGGGGGUUGAGUGGGUGGUUUAGCAAGAGGUGUCGGGGUUGGUGGUGUGUGCGUGCGUUGUCAUUGUUGCGGGUGGGCAGCACGAAUGAGAAGGACGGGGGGUGUUGAAUGCAGGCCGGUGUUUUGGCUGGUGAAGUGAGCGACAUUGUUCUGCUGGACGUGACGCCUCUGUCUCUGGGUUUGGAGACGCUGGGGGGUGUGAUGACGAAGAUCAUCCCGAGGAACACGACGCUGCCGACGUCGAAGUCGGAGGUGUUUUCGACCGCCGCCGAUGGUCAGACAAGCGUGGAGAUCAACGUGCUGCAGGGAGAGCGCGAGUUCGUGAGGGACAACAAGUCACUGGGAAGCUUCCGGCUGGACGGCAUUCCACCGGCUCCCAGGGGCGUGCCGCAGGUGGAGGUUCGGUUCGACAUCGACGCGAACGGCAUCUUGUCAGUGAGCGCCAUGGACAAGGGCACGGGGAAGAAGCAGGACAUCACGAUCACAGGAGCCAGCACGCUGCCCAAGGACGAGGUGGAGAGAAUGGUGCAGGAGGCGGAGAAGUUCGGGCAGGAAGACAAGGAGAAGAGGGACGCAGUGGACACGAAGAACCAGGCAGACUCAGUGGUGUACCAAACGGAGAAGCAGCUGAAGGAGUUGGCGGACAAGGUGCCAGCAGAGGUGAAGGACAAGGUGGAAGCGAAGCUGAAGGAAUUGAAGGAUGCGAUCGCGAGCGACAACACACAGAGCAUGAAGGACGCGAUGGCAGCUUUGAACCAGGAGGUGAUGCAGCUAGGACAGUCUUUGUACAACCAGCCCGGAGCCGGAGGCGCGCCCGAGGGAGGCGCGCCAGGCGGGCAAGGGAGCAGCUCGGGGCCGGCUGCGGG